rnacentral:rRNA from 1 species
GACGAACGCUGGCGGCGUGCUUAACACAUGCAAGUCGAACGAUGAAGCGGGUGCUUUCCCUCGUGGAUUAGUGGCGAACGGGCGAGUAACACGUGAGUAAACUGUCCUUUUCUUUGGGAUAACGGUUGGAAAAGGCUGCUAAUACUGGAUAUUCAGUCUUCAUCGCAUGGUGUGGUUUGGAAAGGUUUUUUUUGGGAUUGGGUGGGCUAGUGGCCUGUCAGCUUGUUGGUGGGGUGAUGGCUUAGCCAGGCUUUGACGGGUAGCCGGCCUGAGCGGGUGGGCUGUCGCACUGGGACUGAGAUACGGCCCAGACUACUACGGGGGGCAGCAUUGGGGAAUAUUGCACAAUGGACGACAGUUUGAUGCAGCGUCGCCGCGUAGAGGGUGUAGGCCUUAGGGUUCUGAUCUCCUUGUACAAGCGAAAAAGGCACAGUUUUGGCUGUGUUGAUGGUAGUGGGGGAAGAAGCGCCGGCUAACUACGUG